AUGAUUGAUGCAAUGUACAGGGUUCAAAGAAGAGAAGAAGCUAACAUUUUGUUUGCUGCAAUAUCUGCCAAUGGAUUGGUACCUAAUGCUUCUACUUACAGAAUAAUGAUGACAAAUCUUUUAAAAGAAGGAUCAAUGGAAGAAGCUGAUCAUAUGUUUUCAUCAAUGGAGGCGAGUGGUGAUGCUCCCAGCUCCGUUCUGUUAAAUGAUAUCAUCAGAAUGUUGCUAGAAAAAGGUGAGAUAGUCAAGGCUGGAAAUUAUUUGUCUAAAGUUGAUGGGAAGAGCAUUUCACUUGAAAAUUCAACUGGUUUGUUGAUGAUGCAUCUAUUUUCAAGGGAAGGCAAAUAUCAUGAGCAAAUAAAAUCACUCCCUGCAAGGUAUCGAUUUUUCGGAGGAGUCAGACACAGUUGA
rnacentral:rRNA from 1 species